rnacentral:rRNA from 1 species
AUUGAACGCUGGCGGCAGGCCUAACACAUGCAAGUCGAACGAGUGGCGGACGGGUGAGUAAUGUCUGGGAAACUGCCUGAUGGAGGGGGAUAACUACUGGAACCGGUCGCUAAUACCGCAUACCAUCAGAUUUGCCCAGAUGGGAUUCGCUUGUUGGUGGGGUAACGGCUCACCAAGGCGACGAUCCCUAGAUGGUCUGAGAGGAUGAACAGCAACACUGGAACUGAGACACGGUCCAGACACAUACGGGAGGAAGAAGUGGGGAAGAUUGCACAAUGGGCGCAAGCCUGAUGAAGCCAUGACGAGUGUAUGAAGAAGGCCUUCGGGUUGGAAAGUACUUUCAGCGGGGAGGCGUUAACCGCAGAAGAAGCACCGGCUAACUCCGUGCCAGCAGCCGCGGUAAUAC